rnacentral:rRNA from 1 species
GUUCAUUACGCCGACCUUAGAGCAGGUG